UUGGAUUUACAUCAAUAUCUUUAGGCGUUUUAUUAAAAAAAAAGCUACAUUUGAUCAAGUGGAACUGCUGAUGUGUUCCAGAACGGAACUUUUUAACGCACACGUUUUGUAUUCUUUAUUAAGCUUGUAGUGAGUAAGGUUCUUAAGGUGUACUUAAUACAUCAAUGUCCAGUUCUGAUGAUGGGUUUCAUGAAGAAUCGAGGGAAUUCCUAAAAUCUUUUAGGCAUACAUGUAAUAAUUUCUGGGAUUUUAUUUACAUAUCAAGCAUUAUUAUUAAAAAAGUGUAAUUUGACUAAAAGUAACAGCUGAUGUUGACCAGAAUGGAACUCGCCAACUUGCGCGCGAUUUGUUUUAUUAGUUAAGUUUGUAGCAAGUAAGUUUUAAGUAUUAAGGUUUUUAGGAACAUAUGUGUCAAGGUAAAGGUCUGAUGAUAAGUCCCAUGAAGAAUCGAGGGAAUUUCUUAAAUGCUAUAGGCAUAUAUGUAGUACUUAUUGGAUUUUCAUCAACAUAUUAUCAACUUUUAUUCACAAAAGUGACAUUUGAUGAUGUGGAACUACUGAUGUUGACCAGAACGGAACUCCAACGCGUGCAAUUUUUCUUCGUUAAGUUUGUAGCAAGUAAGGUUCUUAAAAAACAUUUUUGUCAAAGUACAGUUCUGAUGAUGGGUUUCAUGAAGAAUCGAGGGAAUUCCUAAAAUCUUAUAGGCAUACAUGUAAUAAUUUCUGGGAUUUUAUUUACAUAUCAAGCAUUUUUAUUAGUAAAUUGUCAUUUGACUAAGUGUAACAGCUGAUGUUGACCAGAAUGGAACUCGCCAACUCGCGCGCGAUUUGUUUUAUUAGUUAAGUUUGUACCAAGUAAGUUUUAAGUACUAAGGUUUUUAGGAACAUUUGUGCCAAGGUAAAGGUCUGAUGAUGGGUCCCAUGAAGAAUCGAGGGAAUUUCUUAAAUGUUAUAGGUAUAUAUAUAUAGUACUUAUUGGAUUUUCAUCAACAUAUUAUCAAGUUUUAUUCACAAAAGUGACAUUUGAUGAUGUGGAACUACUGAUGUUAACCAAAACGGAACUCCAACGUGCGCAAUUUUUCUUCGUUGUUAAGUUUGUAGCGAGUAAGGUUCUCAAGAAACAUUUUUGUCGAAGUACAGUUCUGAUGAUGUGUUUCAUGAGAAAGCGAGGGAACUCCUCAUUCUCCUCAAUUCUUAUAGGCAUAUAGUCAUUUUGGAUUUUCAUCAAUAUCUUUAGCUUUUUUUAUUCACAUUAGUGGCAUUUGAUGAAGUGGAACUAGUGAUGUUGACUAAAACGGAACUCUUCAACGCGCGAGAUUUCUUUCUUCUUUUGUUUGUUGUGAUAUAAGAGGCAAACUAGCAGACGAAUCAACUGAUGGUAAGCGAUUACCGCUGGCCAUGGACACCUGUUACACCAUAGGGAUUGUAAGUGCGGUGCCGGUAUUUAAGAUAGGAAUACGCUCUUUCCUUAAAGUUUUAAAGAUCGUAUUAGGCCGGAAAUACCGCAUGCGACAGAUCAUUUCAUAGUUUAGCUGUAUGAGGCAGGAAGUUUCUAGAGAAAUGCACAGUUGAGGAUCGCCAACCAUCUAAGUGGUGAAGAUAUAAAUGAUGUUGCGUAAAGCGGUGACGGAAAGAGGCGGCAGAGAUUAAUCCGAACAAUUCCUCGGAACUUUUAAAUUUGUAGAAAGUAAGGUUCUUAAGAAAUAUCUGUGCUAGACACCAGUAUCUAGUGUCUAGGUCUGAUGAUGGACACCUCAAACCUUAUAGAAAUACAUAUAGUUUUUUUUUUUCAUCAAUAUCUCUAGGUGUUUUAUUUAAAAAAAGUUAUAUUUGAUCAAUUUGGUCUGAUGAUGGACACCUCAAACCUUAUAGAAAUACAUAUAGUUUUUUUUUUCAUCAAUAUCUCUAGGUAUUUUAUUUAAAAAAAAGUUAUAUUUGAUCAAGUGGAACUGCUGAUGUUGUCCAGAACGGAACUCUUCAACGCGCGCGAUUCUUAUUCUUUGUUAAGUUUGUAGCAAGCUAGGUUUUUAGGAAAAAUUUGUGUCAAGGUCCAGUUAUGAUGAUGGAUUCAACGAGGAAUUGAGGAUUUUAAAUCGAUUUGAAUUCUCAAUUGGGAGGAAUUGAGGAUUUUCGUCAACAUAUCAAGUUUUUUUUAUUUGAACAAGUGACAUUUGAUGAAGUGAAAACUGCUGAUAUUGAGCAAAAUGGAACUCUUCAACGACAAGUAUUUUACCUUAGGCGUUUUUUUAUUUUAUUUCGUUUAUAGGAUGUAAGGCUUUUAAGGAACAUUUGUGUCAAGCUCCAGUUCUGACGACAGGUUCUACGAGAAACCGAAGGAGCUUCUCAUAUUGUAUAUUGUGUAGUCACUUUAGGAUUUUCAUCAAUAUUACAAGCAUUUUUACUCAAUAAAGUGACAUUUGAUGAAGUAGAAUUGCUGAUGAAGAACGGAACACCUCAACGACUUCCAGAUUCUUUAUUUUUAUUACUCUUCUUUCUUUUUCAUUAUUCUUAGAACAGGUAUUUCUACUAAGUGAACCGAACUGCUACUAUUAAAAGUAGGUAGGUAGGUUAAAUAGGUUAGAACGGUAAGGAUUAUUAUGUAUAGGUAAGUAGUCUUUCUUUUAAUUAAACAUAGGUAAGUAAUUCUAUUUAAGUAUAAGUAUCUUUAAAAAAAAAACAUCAAUCGACUCUUAUCUGUUACUAGUUCCAGUUUCAGAGUAUAAAAGCCGGGUACACAGCUAGCCAGGUUACGUUAGGUAAUAAAUAAAUAAAUAUGUAGGGACAAUCUUACACAGAUUGGCCCCAAACUAAUCAAAGCUUGUACUAUGGGUACUAGGCGACGUUAAACAUACUUAUUUAGAUAAAUAUAUAUUUACGUAUACACAAAGAAAACACGCAUGCCUUAGGAACAAAUAUCUGUGUUCAUCACACAAAGAAAUGCCCUUACGCGAUUCAAACUCGGGACCAUCGGCUUCAUAGGCAGGGUCACUACCCACUAGGCCAAACCGGUCGGCAAAAGGUAAAGAUAAUUAGGUAAAGACAAUGAAUAAUUAAACGUAUUAUAAAUUGACACCAAUAUCCAUCAAAUAAGUAGUAUAACUAGGUAUGCUAAGAGCGGGCUUCAGGCCAUUACGUCGCACCUUUAGAAUGAAACUAAUUUGACUCAAAAAGUACGACUACUUUAUAUAUGUAGUUUGGUAGAACAGUAAGAACUCACUAUAUGUGUCUCUUUUUCAUGCGGUGAAAUCCCCCCACCCGGAAAGGGUAGCGACGCCCAUUUUAUCGACUCUCGAGUCGACUCCAAUCUGAUACUAAUAAAACCAUACGGCAAUAAUGAGGAUGCAUCGACAUAAGAAGAAUCGAUCAUGGGCAAGAUAAAGUUCAAGAAAAAAGCAAAUAUAAUGUGUACUUGUGUGUAGUCAAAGAAAGUUGAAAAAUAAAGCAUAAUUAAUGGCCAUAGAAUACAGAACCGAUACACGAACAUUAAGACUAUUAAAAAUAGACAUAUAGGUUGAUCGUACUACUCGUACUAAUGUAUUUCUUUUGUUCAAUUAUAUUGCAUUAAAGUUAGAUUCUCUAGGUAUAUAUUAUUCAUAGGUUCUGUAUUCUAUAUGAAUUGUUUUAGUGUAAUUAUUGUACUAAAUACCGUUGACCGCCUGUCAACAGUAUUUAUUUCUACAUUACUAUCACAGAUUUUAGGCCCUACAGUAGUUUUUGAAUUAGUAUUUACUAUGGACAAAUAUAGCGAAAUGUGAGUUUUUACCUAAAAUAUCAAUCCAGGAGAACAUAUUGGAGAGACUAGAGAUAAUACACCGCUUUAAGGGCGGUCGCACACGGGAUUGACAUCUGGCGUCUAGAUGGUGGGUGGACCUCAGCGAAUUUCAAAGAAAUAUUUAUAAACAUCCAAUGACGUUCGGCUCGGAUACCAGAUCUUCAAUCUCCUGAUUCCUGUGGAGUCUCCAGGUUCCAUCCUCUCCACGUGUGGGUCCUAGGAUUUUUUGCGCUGCCAGACUCCGAUGACUCGGACACGUAGUCCAGAUGGGUGAGGAUCGUGCAGCCUGGAGGGCGUACUCUGAAGUUCCAAAUGGCCAAAGACCGUCUAGACAUCCUAGGUAGGUCCCGCUGGAGAGACGAAAUGCAAAAAGACCUUAGCGAACUCGGCGCCGUCGACUAGAUGGAAACGGUUUUGGACAGAGAAGCAUGGCGGUCUUUGGUGUCGGAGGCCAAGAUCCACUUCGGGUCGCUGCGCCACAGCAGUAAAUAAGUAUUUAUAAACAUAUUGUACCUUCUGUGUACCUAACCCAAAACGAGAUAUUUAAGAAAAAGUCCACCCGCCAUUCUGACGUCAGGAUUGCGGUUGGACAUAUGAAAUCUUGCAUUAUACCGCACUAAAAGUAUGCAGUUAUAUGGUACAGUCGCCAUCAGAUAUAUCGGAGUGGCCGAGGUGCUCAAACAUAUCUAAACACGCACUCUAACCCCUUGACAGUAGAGGCAUGUUCAGAUAUUCGUGGGUACCUUGGCCGCUCCGAUAUAUAUGAUGGUGACUGUACCUUCAGUGUACCUCUGUAAAUAGAAAUAGAAACCGGUGUACCUCUCCCCAAAACAAGCUAGGCUAAGCUCAUGCACAAUAUAACUGCAUACUUUUAGUGCGGUAUAAUGCAAGAUUUCAUAGGUCCACCCGCCAUCCUGACGUCAGGUUGGCGGGUUGACCGUUUUGUAAAAUAUCUCGUUUUGGGGAAAGGUACACUGGUUUCUAUUAAAGGUACACUGAGGUACACAGGAAGGUACAAUAUGUUUAUAAAUAUUUCUUUGAAAUUCGCUGAGGUCCACCGCCAUCCUGACGCUUACCAUAUAUCUAAGGACCGACCUUAGGGGCAAUAACGAUAGUGCUAGUUCAGUUGUUUCAUUCACAAAUUCGAGCCAAUCGUGCUGUCUAACGCAACUAGAUGCGAUCAAUCGCGUGCGUAAUGCGAACUCAUCAACCAAUCACGUUGUGGUACUUGUGGCGUUAGACUGCACGAUUGGCUCAAUCAAACUCGUGUGCGUAACACCGCUGUACUGGUCUCAUUCUUAUUGCCCGUAAGGCCCGUCCUCAGAUAUAUUAUGUCAAUGACACAGUCGCGAUUUUAAAAAAUCCACAUCGCUUCUGCUACCAAAUUGUUGAGCAUAACGUUUUCCUAUCCAUAGGUUCCAUCUGUCCAGUAGGAUCCACCAUCUCGAUCCACCAGAUUGAAGAGAUUGUUACUUAACUGAUGGAUCGAGAUGAUGAAACCUACUGAAUAGGGCGGGUCGAUUGGCUGAAUUGGAUAUAACAAAGUACGCUUAUAUGAAACACUGCUCCGGUGUGCGAGUGAGACAGUCAGGCCAAUUUGAACUUGCAUUUGACAGAAAACUGAUUGUCUCCAUCGAACGCUACCAGUUCCAUUGCCGGCCUCUUCGCUGCCUUCUAUAGUGGUUCAAUCCUACCUUGCUUGUGAAUAAAAAAGGGGCGUGCACACCGAUAUUAGAGUAAUAUUGGAAUCAUAUCAGUUAGUUGCGGGCGUCUCGCUCGCACAAAUACAUGCAUAUAAGUGCGAAAUGAACGCACGAAUGACAGCUAACUGGUAUCAUUCCAAUAUUAUUCUAAAAUUGGUUUAACCCUUUACCAGGCCAAGGGAUAUAUUCCACCCACAUCUUAUAUCGUUUACCGUAGUCAGGUUUUAACUCCAAACCACCUACAAAAUAUUUUGUCAAUCCCUGAAAAUAUUAUUUUAUGAUCUUCAUUCAGAACACGCUUCUAAAUUGCGUAAUAUAUCUUCGGCAGCCGUUUAAAUUAACUUGAACGCUAAUUUCAGUAAACUACGGAGAAAUUCGAACACUUUCCAUAAUUUCUAUGAAACAGAAGUACAUAGGUCGAACAAUUUUUUGAUAUUUUGUAGAUUUUGAGUGUUGAAAGCUAAUGUAAUCGUAAACAUUGCUAAAUAUUCAUGCAUUAUUGUGUAUGACCAGAAUUAGGAUGUGGGUUGACAUUAUCCCAUGGCCUUAUUAGAGUUUAACUGUGUGGGAGCUAUUUUUCCCAUGGCCCGGUAAAUUGUCUUGUCAUGUCAUAAAAACUCACGUAAGUAAGUAGUGAUUGAUAUAAUGUUUCGUAGGAGAUUUGGAGUUAAACCUUGACUAUUAUAACCGAUAUAAGAUGUGGGUGGAAUAUAUCCCUUGGCCUGAUCAAGAAUAUAAUAAGACAAAAUCUAGUAUGACAGUUCAUUACUUAGACAGGCGAUGGGAUAACCGUAACCCACAUUUUUAUUUCUGGUUUAAAGGAAGAUCUCCGACUUUCAUAAAUACAUUUUUUACAAGGCGUUCAAUACGGUUGCAACAGCAUAUAAAGUACGUAUUAAGACACGCUGGUUCUUCGGGGCCUGGUAAAGGGUUAAUGUCAGUUGCACUUUCGAAUUGGCCUACAUAGCGAUUUCCUUAGCCUGCACACCGGAUCGGCGUGUGGGCCAGCAUCUACCUAAUGUAAAGCUACCUCAUUAGGUGCUUUUAGCCUUUUGAACGGCAAGAACACCUAAAGAUGUGGUGAGAGAAAGCCGCGCGUCCCUCAUGCACUAGCUUUACAGCUUGCAUUGCGACCAAUGUAUGCCGCUCACCGCCCCGCCGGUCGCGUGGGUCCAACCCGCGGCCGGCCCUAGAAUACGUACUUUACAUAUAAACAAGAGCACGCGAGCAUUUUGCGAGUUGUGUAUGUGUACUUGUGUUAUCUAGGCGCACAAACGGUUACAAUAACAAGAAGUGUACACCGCGUGUGCAGUCCAACACGGGAGCACGGGUGCGAUUCGAAAAUAACGCGCUAGCGACGCAUUACGACAUUGAUACUUUACCCGUAGAACGCCAUAAACAAAAACGUUACUCACACGCCAAGGUCACGGGCGCAAGUGAGCUUGAAAAUGCAUGAGUAUUACAUUAGGGACUUUAACAGCGAUUAUAACAGCUAGAAUCAUUAAUGUGUUCCUGGCCCUUAAAUCAUGUCUAGUGACGGCGCCUUUAGGUGUUCUUGACGUUCAAAAGGUUAAGGGCAAACGCUAGCAAACGCUAGCUGGCGCUAGUGCACGGAGCGGGCAAACACGCGCAGGUGCCUUUGUAAGUAAAAUCAGUCGCACGCGUCCGCGCCAGUUAGCGUUGCUCAUACUGUAAGCCCGGACGGACGCCCUAUGCCCUAAACCUUACUUGAAAGUGUGAAGGUUACUCUGACAGCGGCUAUAUCAGCUAUAAUGUAUUUAUGACGCUUUGAGCAUAGCUAGUUACGACGCCUUAAGGUAUUCUUGGCGUUCAAAAGGUUAAGGGCGUUUGCUAGCUGGCGCGAGUGCACGGAGCGGGUGCUCGGGUUGUAGGUAAAAUUCGUCGCACGCGUCCGCGCCAGUUAGCGUCGCCAGUUACUGUUUUUCGUUAACCCGCUCCAGCUAGCAAACUAAUCGCAAAUGGUCCGAGAUUGGCGCAAUAACCAUGCAUUCCCUUAUCUGGAUCUGGAUGCACCUAUUCACCAAUGCUUGCUUUAAAGUAACUUGUCGACUCGUCCUGAUAAUAUUUGUGCGACCGUGAAGAAAAUGUAUGCCGUCAGUUAUUUUUCAAUUUAUAUGAAAUAAAGGUGUUAAAUGUA